UACGUAGGGUGCAAGCGUUUGUCCGGAAUUAUUGGGCGUAAAGAGCUCGUAGGCGGUUUGUCGCGUCGAAUGUGAAAACCCGGGGCUCAACCCCGGGCCUGCAUUUGAUACGUGUUGUCUAGAGUGAGGAAGAGGGUUGUGGAAUUCCCAGUGUAGAGGUGAAAUUCGUAGAUAUUGGGAAGAACACCGGUGGCGAAGGCGGCAACCUGGUCCUUGACUGACGCUGAGGCGCGAAAGCGUGGGGAGCAAACAGG
rnacentral:rRNA from 1 species